GGAUCGCAGAGUAAAGUUCAAGAAAUUCAGAUAUGUGAAGUUGAUUUCCAUGGAAACUGCGUCAUCCUCUGAUGACAGUUGUGACAGCUUUGCUUCUGAUAAUUUUGCAAACACGAGACUACAGUCAGUCCGGGAAGGCUGUCGCACACGCAGCCAAGGCAGACACUCUGCACCCCUCAGGGUAGCCAUGAAGUUUCCAGCGCGAAACAGCAGGGGAGCGGCCAACAAGAAAGCAGAGUCCCCCCAACCUUCAAAUAAUUCUGUGACCAAUUCUAAUUCUGAUUCAGAAGAAGAAAGCGGCAUGAAUUUUUUGGAGAAAAGUGCUUUAAAUAUAAAGCAAAAACAAAGCAAUGCUUGCAAAACUCAUGUCAGAAUUAGAAAGUUUCCCUGGCUCAUUCCCUAGAAGACAUUCCUUUCCAGGUCCCAGUUCACAACUGAAGAGACCCCGCAGGCGAACGUUCCCAGAUGUCGCCUCCAGGAGAAACCUUGAACGGAGAGCUCGCCCUCUCACCAGGUCGAGGUCCCGGAUCCUGGGGUCCCUUGGUCCUCUACCCAUGGAGGAGGAAGAGGAAGAGGAAGAGGAUAAGUACAUGUUGGUGAGGAAGAGGAAGACCAUAGAUGGCUACAUGAACGAAGACGACAUGCCCAGAAUUCGUCGCUCCAGGUCACCCAUGACCCUUCCGCAUAUAAUUCGCCCAGUGGAAGAAAUUACAGAGGAAGAGUUGGAAAACAUCUGCCAACACUUCUCGAGAGAAGAUCUAUAACCGUUCGCUGGGCUCUACUUGUCAUCAGUGCCGCCAGAAAACGAUUGAUACCAAAACAAACUGCAGAAACCCAGACUGCUGGGACGUUCGAGGCCAGUUCUGUGGCCCCUGCCUUCGAAACCGUUACGGUGAAGAGGUCAGGGAUGCUCUGCUGGAUCCGAACUGGCACUGCCCACCUUGUCGAGGGAUAUGCAACUGCAGUUUCUGCCGGCAGCGAGAUGGACGGUGCGCCACGGGGGUCCUUGUGUAUUUAGCCAAGUACCAUGGCUUUGGGAAUGUGCAUGCUUACUUAAAAAGUCUGAAACAAGAGUUUGAAAUGCAAGCGUGA